rnacentral:rRNA from 1 species
UACGAAGGGGGCGAGCGUUGUUCGGAAUUACUGGGCGUAAAGGGCGCGUAGGCGGCGAUCCGAGUCAGAUGUGAAAGUCCUGGGCUUAACCUGGGGACUGCAUUUGAUACUGGAUUGCUUGAAUGCAGGAGAGGAUAGCGGAAUUCCCAGUGUAGAGGUGAAAUUCGUAGAUAUUCGCAAGAACACCAGUGGCGAAGGCGGCCUACUGGUCCAUCACUGACGCUGAGAUGCGAAAGCGUGGGGAGCAAACAGG